GUCCCUGUAGCGCAAUGGAUAACGAGUUAGACUUCUAAUCCAAAGGUCGGGAGUACGAAUCUCCCCUGGGAUG